rnacentral:rRNA from 1 species
GUACACUCCUGCGGGAGGCAGCAGUGGGGAAUUUUGGACAAUGGGCGAAAGCCUGAUCCAGCAAUGCCGCGUGAGUGAAGAAGGCCUUCGGGUUGUAAAGCUCUUUUGUCAGGGAAGAAACGGUGAGAGCUAAUAUCUUUUGCUAAUGACGGUACCUGAAGAAUAAGCACCGGCUAACUACGUGCCAGCAGCCGCGGUAAUACGUAGGGUGCAAGCGUUAAUCGGAAUUACUGGGCGUAAAGCGUGCGCAGGCGGUUUUGUAAGUCUGAUGUGAAAUCCCCGGGCUCAACCUGGGAAUUGCAUUGGAGACUGCAAGGCUAGAAUCUGGCAGAGGGGGGUAGAAUUCCACGUGUAGCAGUGAAAUGCGUAGAUAUGUGGAGGAACACCGAUGGCGAAGGCAGCCCCCUGGGUCAAGAUUGACGCUCAUGCACGAAAGCGUGGGGAGCAAACAGGAUUAGAAACCCGUGUAGUCCCAUG